GACGAACGCUGGCGGCGUGCUUAACACAUGCAAGUCGAGCGGUAAGGCCCUUUCGGGGGUACACGAGCGGCGAACGGGUGAGUAACACGUGGGUGACCUGCCCUCAGCUCUGGGAUAAGCCUGGGAAACCGGGUCUAAUACUGGAUAUGACUCCAUGACGCAUGUUGUGGGGUGGAAAGCCUUGUGCGGCUGAGGAUGGGCCCGCGGCCUAUCAGCUUGUUGGUGGGGNGAUGGCCUACCAAGGCGACGACGGGUAGCCGGCCUGAGAGGGCGACCGGCCACACUGGGACUGAGAUACGGCCCAGACUCCUACGGGAGGCAGCAGUGGGAAUCUUGCGCAAUGGGCGAAAGCCUGACGCAGCGACGCCGCGUGAGGGAUGAC
rnacentral:rRNA from 1 species